AUGCAGGGUGGCACAGUGGUUAUCACUGCUGCCUGUCAGCAGGGAGGUUCUGGGUUCGAGCCCCAGCCCCAUG